CACGUAGGGCGCGAGCGUUGUCCGGAAUUAUUGGGCGUAAAGAGCUCGUAGGCGGCCUGUUGCGUCCGCUGUGAAAGCCCGGGGCUUAACCCCGGGUCGGCAGUGGAUACGGGCAGACUAGAGGUAGGUAGGGGAGAAUGGAAUUCCCGGUGUAGCGGUGAAAUGCGUAGAGAUCGGGAGGAACACCAGUGGCGAAGGCGGCUACCUGGACCAGCACUGACACUGAGGCACGAAAGCGUGGGGAGCAAACAGG
rnacentral:rRNA from 1 species